UACGAAGGGGGCUAGCGUUGCUCGGAAUCACUGGGCGUAAAGCGCACGUAGGCGGCUUUCUAAGUCAGGGGUGAAAUCCUGGAGCUCAACUCCAGAACUGCCUUUGAUACUGGGAAGCUCGAGUCCGGGAGAGGUGAGUGGAAUUCCGAGUGUAGAGGUGAAAUUCGUAGAUAUUCGGAAGAACACCAGUGGCGAAGGCGGCUCACUGGACUGGUAUUGACGCUGAGGUGCGAAAGCGUGGGGAGCAAACAGGG
rnacentral:rRNA from 1 species